UACGUAGGUGGCUAGCGUUGUCCGGAUUUACUGGGCGUAAAGAGCUCGUAGGUGGUUCAGCAAGUCGGGUGUGAAAGCUCUGGGCUCAACCCAGAGAUGCCACCCGAUACUGCUGUGACUAGAGUCAGGUAGGGGAUCGCGGAAUUCCAGGUGUAGCGGUGAAAUGCACAGAUAUCUGGAGGAACACCAGCGGCGAAGGCGGCGAUCUGGGCCUGUACUGACACUGAGGAGCGAAAGCGUGGGGAGCGAACAGG
rnacentral:rRNA from 1 species